UUUGAAUUUUGCAUGCAUUCCUCAGACUGCAUUAAAAGAGUCCCUUCAAAAACAACAUGCCUAAAUCCAAUGUCGAGAAUAAACUAAAUGACUAAUUUCAAACAUAGUGCUUUUACAAUAUCAAAAUCUAGAAGUGUCUCAAAAUACCAAGUGGCUAUAACCAUCACCAAAGCCAUUAGCAUUAAAAUAACUAUUCCAACAUCUAAUUUAUUAUUCACUGGUUCAACUGCAUCCACAUUAACUUUAUAAAACAGCUAGUAAAGGAGAUCCAACUGAUGAUGAAAUAGAAACUUGAGUCUGAAAAUUUAUAACCUAGAUACUAUGGUCCACAAUGCCAUUCCUAAUGGUUUCAAAUAUGAAAGUAUUUUUCCCUCAAACCUAGCUAAUUUUGUUUCUAGCAUAGCAAAUACUAUAACAUGAUGAUAAAACAAAACUUAUUUCUUCACGUGGACAUACUAUAACAUGAUGAUAAAACAAAACUUGUUUCUUCACGUGAACUAUGAUUGAUCACAUUUUUAAGUCAAUGAAUAAAAUAAUAUUGUUAUCAUUUGAAACAAACACCUAAAGGAGGGAGGUUGAAAUCAGAUCUAUUUUGACCAAAUGCAAUCAUUGAAAAUGUGGUCAUUACCUUCCUCGCUUGAACCACAUCUAGCAGAAAAAAACUCCAAAUACUAGGGGUGGACAAAAACCAUCGAACCGCUCAGAAACCGAGCAACCCGCAUCAAACAAACUACAAAUGGGUGGUCGACUCGGUCCCACGGUGAGCGAGUGACCAGAACCAAUUUCAUGUAGAUUAAAAUGGACAGUUAUUGACUCAUAUUCAUGACCCAUCAGUAUUCGAACCCGCCUGAUUGAACAUGCAUAGUAAUAUCAGAUCUGUUAGUAGCCUAGUAUUGUUCUUUCAGUGCGCUAAGUUAUGCAUGGAAAAAUAAAAAUACAAAAAACCUACUGACGAUUUAGCAUGCUAGUAGUCUAAAUACAUUUAAAUUUUUCUUGUAA
rnacentral:lncRNA from 1 species